UACAGAGGGUGCGAGCGUUAAUCGGAAUUACUGGGCGUAAAGCGCGCGUAGGCGGCUUUUCAAGUCGAUUGUGAAAUCCCCGGGCUUAACCUGGGAACUGCAGCCGAGACUGUCUAGCUAGAGUAUGGGAGAGGGAAGUGGAAUUUCAGGUGUAGCGGUGAAAUGCGUAGAUAUCUGAAGGAACAUCAGUGGCGAAAGCGACUUCCUGGACCAAUACUGACGCUCAUGUGCGAAAGCGUGGGGAGCAAACAGG
rnacentral:rRNA from 1 species